rnacentral:lncRNA from 1 species
CCAACUUUUAAUAGUAAAUAUCCCAUAAUCAUCCCAGAAAUCGGUGUCACAAGUGCAUGAGCAAUCAAUAGGAAAUCAAAUGAAGCAUAUUAACUGUCCGGAAUACGGAUUUGGACAUGAAGUAAAUACAAUACACUAAAAGAGACUAUGCUGGCUGCGGGUCACCUCAAGAGAUGCAACUCGCAUAAUUCUCCGUAGCAUCCAUGCUGCUAUGUCCAUUAGGCCGUUAGAGGUACAUGUGCCUGUGCAACAAAAAUGCACAACAAGUGUAGCAUGAGUACAAAAAUAACGUGUACUCAGUAAGUAUCCCGUCUGAUCUCGAAGAAGUAGAGACAAGAGGUCGACUUCGACACUUACUAGUGGUCCAAUGAUAAUAUACCAAUAAUUUAAUAAAUCGAGGAUUUUCAUAAAAAUGACGGUAACUCAAAUAGUAUGAGGCAAGUAAACAAUUCUUUCGUUUAUAGGAAAUUCCCAAAUUCAUUUUCAUCAUUUAUACAUUUAUCUCAUGCCAUGGAGAAACAAAUAUCAACAUCUAUGAAUUUCAGGGUAAGCAAUACAAGCAUGCGCAACUCAUGCAGAGGUCAUACGGUCCGAUCCAACAAAUAUUUAAAUUGUGCACUACUAGAGGGUCGAAUGGCGCGAACCAUAGAUGCAUCUAUUACCCCGCCCGUGAAUCAUACAUGCGACGCGGUCAAAUAUAAAUGAACAAUCACCCAGCUCACGAAUCAUACAUGCGAUGCGGGUACACAUAGAAACACGCAUUCAAGAACUCAAUCAAGAAUUCAUCGGGGAAAAACAAUUACCCAAAGAAAUAGCAAUUCUCUUUAAAGAUCAAGAAAAUGAUGUUUAAUUCUUUUAGAAAUUCAUUUACCAAUUCAAUAUGAUUUAAGCAUUUUAAAUCGAGAACAACAUUCCAAAUAUUACAAGUAGAGCAUGCUUUUGGGUCCUAGAUUACCCGAACUUAUGCAUAAUAGUAGCUACGCACUGACUCUCGUCACCAUGUGCAUACGUAGCCCCCACAAAUAGGAGCACAUAUCCAAUUAAUUCACGUAUGGGGACAAUUUUCUCUUACAAGGUUAGAAAUGAGACUCACCUCGCUCCGAAGCUCACUUUCCGGUCCAAGAUUAUGCUUAGACCCUCAAUUCGGUGCGGAAUAAUCCAAAACUAAUGAAAUAGUGUAUAAACUAAUCAAUACAUGUUCAAAAUUCAUAUUCCAACUAUUAAGGUGAUUACCCAACCCUAAAUGUAAGAUUCCUAAAAUUCACCCCAGACCCACGUGCCCGGAUUCCGGAAUUUUUUGAAGAAAGUUGUUACCCAUAACCUUAUGAAGUCAAAUAUAUGAUUUUUACCAAAUUCCAUAACCAUUUUCGUGGUCAAAUCUUAUUUUUAUACAAAACCUAGGUUUUCAUCUAAACCCUUGAUUUCACCAAUUUUUACAUGUUAAUCUAUCCAUAUCUAUAUAUUAAACUCAUGUUGUGUAGAAAUUACUUACCUCAAAGUGCUAGAUGAAAACCCUCUUCCAAAAGCUCCAAAAAUUGCCCAAAUUUGAG